rnacentral:lncRNA from 1 species
ACAAUAAUGUAGCAAUAAUUUUCCAAAUACAUACCCUCGGUUCAUCACCAAGUGUCAGAGCAAAACUCAAUGAAUCUAUUACAAACUCGAAACUUCCUGUCAAAGAUUAUAGUUUCUUUGAUAAAACUAAAGGGAUUGUACUGUAUACAAGAAAAAAACGUCACAAGAAGGUUAUACUUUAUGUUAUUCUAUAUUUAUAGCAAUUGCUUUAUUUACCUUUUUGUUUUCUUGUAAUUUUCCAGCUGUAACGUCUGCACACAUUUGUAUCUUUCCAAUUCACACUGUUCACAUAGGUCCUCAAGACACAAUAGGUGAGUCUCCAUUUCUUCAAAGUUUGCCUCUAGACGGGCUAGACUUGCUGUAAGGCAUUCCAGAUCUGCUAAAAAUCCAGGUAUUUGUUGGAGUUGAUCCUGUAGUUCCACCAGACUGUUCCUUUUCUUCUCCCAGUGUGCAGAAAGCAUUACAACUUCACUGUCCACCAGCUCUCCAGCUUUUGCACAAUCUUUGGCUCCUUUAUGAAGGGCAGCCCAAGCAUCUUCAUACCUGCUCAGUAAUUCGAGUCCAGCAGAAAACUCUGGUGAACACUGAGCAGUUCUCUGUCUACUUUUUUUUGCUUCUCUUGAUUUAUCGCCCAAAGUCUUCAAC